GCUAAUCUGGCAGAUUAUGUUUUAGAUUUAGGAUCUAACUAUGUAGGUGUGAAUCCUACGGUUAGCA
rnacentral:tRNA from 1 species